GACGAACGCUGGCGGCGUGCUUAACACAUGCAAGUCGAACGGUGAAGCGCUUUCCUUUUUGGUUGGUGUGGAUGAGUGGCGAACGGGUGAGUAACACGUGAGUAACCUGCCCCCUUCUUCUGGAUAACCGCAUGAAAGUGUGGCUAAUACGGGAUAUUCUGCGCCUGCUGCAUGGUGGGUGUGGGAAAGAUUGUGCCUUUGGGUGUUUUCGGUGGGGGAUGGGCUCGCGGCCUAUCAGCUUGUUGGUGGGGUGAUGGCUUACCAAGGCGGUGACGGGUAGCCGGCCUGAGAGGGUGGACGGUCACACUGGGACUGAGACACGGCCCAGACUCCUACGGGAGGCAGCAGUGGGGAAUAUUGCACAAUGGGCGCAAGCCUGAUGCAGCGACGCCGCGUGAGGGAUGGAGGCCUUCGGGUUGUGAACCUCUUUCGCCAGUGAAGCAGGCCUGCUCCUUGUGGGUGGGUUGACGGUAGCUGGAUAAGAAGCGCCGGCUAACUACGUG
rnacentral:rRNA from 1 species